GCGAAAGUCCUUCGGGGAUGAGUAGAUCGGCGGACGGGUGAGUAAUACAUAGGUAAUCUACCUUCGAGUUUGGGAUAACCCCGCGAAAGUGGGGCUAAUACCGGAUAAGACCACGUAACUUAUGUUACGGGGUAAAAGGUGGCUUGUUUUUUAAAUGAGCUAUCACUUGAUGAUGAGCCUAUGGCCUAUCAGCUUGUUGGCGGGGUAAGAGCCCACCAAGGCUAUGACGGGUAGCUGGUCUGAGAGGACGACCAGCCACACUGGGACUGAGACACGGCCCAGACUCCUACGGGAGGCAGCAGUGGGGAAUAUUGGGCAAUGGGCGAAAGCCUGACCCAGCGACGCCGCG
rnacentral:rRNA from 1 species